UGGCGGGCAUUGGUCAGCCUAGGGAUAUCCGCUGUCAUGACUGUGCCAGGCCCUAUUGCCUAUUUAAACCCACUCCUUCCCUCCAGGGACUUCACUUCACCUGAGAGUCCAGUUGGCGCCUUUCUUCUAUCUGAGAGUUCUGUCGCCCAUCGACGUCCUUUUCGACCCUGAGCGUUCUUUGCAUCAAUCCCCGCCAUCUCUGCCGGCUCCCCGCCUACGUCGGGCCAAUCUAGGUUGGUCCCGAAACUUCUUUUGUCAUUGUUGUUGUUUCUUCCUCUUCUUGCUUUGUUUGUUUAGCUUUCGAGGGUUAAUUCGCAAUCUUUCUCGAUUUUUUGGGAUUUCCUUCUUUCUUUUCUCUUGUUGCAGGCACGGACGUAGAAGUUGCCCGGGCGGCCCUCACCGUCGACGCCCCUUACGAUGCCGAGCCUUCAGUCCCCCGAGCCCUUUCGAGGAGUUCUCCCACCAGGGCUUUUGCCCCAGAGUUUCGGCUCGAGGGGAUGCUACGGAUC
rnacentral:lncRNA from 1 species